rnacentral:lncRNA from 1 species
UGUUAACUCAUUGAAUCAGUCAGAACUCAGUACUCUUUCUUCUUCUCAGAAUAAACUGUUUACAAGUUUCUCUCUCAUCACAUCAUCAAAACAAUGAACAGAAUGCUAAAAACUUGCUUUCUUUCUUCUUCUUCUUCAUCUUUUAAGGUAAUCAAACAAAACCCAUUUCUUCUUUCUAUCUCUUUUGUAUAAAGUUUCAAUCUUUUUCAUCUUUUCUUCUGUUUUGCAGACUCCAUUGUUAUCUUUCUUCAACAUUCAGUUCAGAAAUCAUGGACGGUACAUCUCUUUCUCUCUCAUUUCUUUUUCUCUUUCUUGGGUUGUGUCAUAUGUGUAAGUUUUAACAUUCAAAUUGCAUAAAGUUUCAAUUUUUAAUCAAUUUUUUCUACAUUUUAGCUGAUUUUUAUUAUAGAAUAUGAU